UCUUGGUUGUAAUAUUAAGUAUAUAAAAAUUACGUUAAUUUUAAAACGUUUCAUCUUUUUGUCCGACAGUGUAGGUAUAAGCACCGCGAAGGUAUAAACUGUAGAUUAAGCUCGAGUAUUCCGAAUCGAAUAAAGCUAUUUAUUAAUACCGUUUGCAGGGUCGUAUACCUUCAUUCGAGUCUCCCCGUACCCGGCCAACCGACUAUACCAGCGCUUUCCCAAACAAGCAUUGCACCUAUCAAUGACAGAACCUAUUAAUAAUAUUCUAACAUUAAAAUUGGGAAUAGUACAAACGUGUAAUGAAAUGACAGACGUACAACGUCAAUCGGCUACUCGUUCUGUCAUUGAUAGGUGGAAUACUUGUUUCCAAGUUGGAGGUAGUCAUUUGGAACAACAUAUGUAAAUAAUUAGUUAUCUUUAGCAAUACAUACAACAACUUUCUUCAGUAAUAUACGUGAUCGAUAAAACUGAAUUAUUAUUUCGAUAGCGUACAUUGCUUAUUGUAAGUCCUACAAGUCGACAAUUUUGGUUAUUGAUAUAAGGAUUAAAAUAUGAUGCUGUACUAAAUAUUGCUUCAAAUACUGAACCAAAUUCUGAUCGUGAAAAAUCGCGGAAAACGCGAAUUAAUAGAACUGAGGCUGCAGGAUGUUUGUAUCCCCAAAGAAGAAAAGUGCAUAAUAUACCAUAAUAUCAUGAGCGGUGAUACACACACACACACACACGCGCGCGCGCGCGCACACCAAUAAAUAACGUAGAUUUAGAACAGCAACUACAAGCAGUGCAGGAUAAGUUACGAUACUUAAUACCUGCAAGAUAACACUCUGCACAGAGUUUUUCCCAGUGUUUUUAAUUAAAUUUGAAUUCUGCAAAACUAGAAUUAUUGCAGCAACAACAGCAACCGCAACCACAACAGUAUCCACAAUUGCUACAGCUGGAGAAAGAAUGAACCAUGGAAAUGGUGCACCAGCCUCCACAAACAUCUGUCGGAAGAAAAAGAUAGCUUCACAUGAGGUUUUAGCAGAAGAGCAGUACGAAGAGGAGGAGACAACUACUUUGUAAUAAUAAAUAAAAAAUACAUAAACAAGAAUAAUAUACUAAUAAUUAAAAUUAACAUUUAUACUAGGAAAAUUAAAACGGGAACUGAAACUUGAAAUGUAACUUAACUUUACAUAUAUUAUACAUUUGUGUUUAUUAAGUAGAAAAUAAAAUAAUAAUAAAUAUCUUAA